rnacentral:rRNA from 1 species
UACGAAGGGGGCUAGCGUUGCUCGGAAUCACUGGGCGUAAAGCGCACGUAGGCGGCUUCUUAAGUCAGGGGUGAAAUCCUGGAGCUCAACUCCAGAACUGCCCUUGAUACUGAGGAGCUCGAGUCCGGAAGAGGUGAGUGGAACUCCGAGUGUAGAGGUGAAAUUCGUAGAUAUUCGGAAGAACACCAGUGGCGAAGGCGACUUACUGGACAACUGUUGACGCUGAGGUGCGAAAGCGUGGGGAGCAAACAGG